AGAAGUUAUCGACAUUAAAGUAAAUAGUUGGUAUUUGGUGUCACCAGUGUUGUGAUAACAGUUGCGGUAAACCUAUAGUCAAAUAAAGGAUCUUUGAACCAAGUAGAAGAUUAAGUUGAUGGGUCUCCACUGUACAGAUCACUGCAAGGGCUGGAAUUAUGUCAACCAGGGUGCACCGUUUUUUGUUGUAGCCCCCACUUUACAGGCUUGUAAUUCUGUUUUUUUAUAUUCUGUUGAUACUUACUUGUAUUAAUAACUGGCUUCGUGUCCUGCUAAGAUGUACAAGUCGUGUCCUUCUUCAUUUGUUAGUGUACCAGUUCUUAAUAAAUUGCUUUCCAACAUUACAACCCUGCAAUUUGAAAAUAUAAUUAAAAACAAUAACCAUCACAAUACUUUUGUGGGUCUAAUGUAUAGAUUACAUUAGGCCUUUCUAUAUAUAAAUUUUGUGAUGAUUUUUCUUGGUUUUAGAUGUUCUUUCAUUGAUGUUUUGAUAUCCUUCAGUCUUUAUUAAAAUACUGUAAUCAAAGUAGGUCAAGAUUUUAUCUAUUUUUUAUAAGAAAUUUCAAUUAAACGAAAUCUAAAUCAAGACAUAUCAUCACAUAAUAUUAUUUUUUAUUUCCUUUAACCAAAUGACAAUACUAUCAAUUUUUAUUGAUGGCCCGAAUGAUGCAGAUGUAAAUAAAAAAUUUUAAUCAGAAACCUCAUUAUCUGGGUUGAUUCAUCAUUAUAGUACAAUGUAAGUUGAUUAAUAUAAUGCAACUUUUCCUAUACCCCCAUAAAAACUUUAAUAUAAACAAUAUUGGAUUAAUAUCUUAACAAGUUUAUGUACUAGAUUUAAUUAUCCAUUUUUGUAUAUUUUAUAUUGAAAUAUAUAUUUUUCACUUUUCAUAUUCGA